UAACCCUGCCCGUGAGGACAGGCUGAACGUACAGAAGUCAGCAGAAGCCAUAGUACGCGGGGCUGUUGCAACAGCCUGCGGAAGGGC
rnacentral:ncRNA from 1 species